UUUUGAAAAAGCCAUUUACAACAGUGUCUCACCAUACUGCGCUGUGACAUCAUGGCCAGAGAGUGCAGCAACUUUGAGACCUACUCCAUGUUUUAUGAAAAUACUCUCCAACAGCAGCACGGUUUACUUUACCAAAACGAACAAGAGCUGCACGCCGUGGAAGAAGGUGGCAACCAAAGUGAUACGGCUCUGACGCAGGAAAAGUUGGAUGUCUAUCGCCUUAGCAUUGAGCAACGAGUGUUUGAAAUCAUCAGUUAAGUGAGAAGAGAAGGAGUUGACAAUAUGAUUGAUCUGCAGAAAAAGUUUGGCUCCACUAAAAAUAAUGGUGACUUGAAAGGACAUUUGUCUAAAGUAAGGAAAUAUAUAUGUGUGUCAGUAAAUGAACACAAGGAUAAUACCCUGGUUAAGCUUGCUGAGGCUUAAGUUACUCCAUUCUGCCUGGGACGUUGGUUGGGUGAAGAGCAUGGAGGUGGUCCAUUACUAGACUCUGUUAAUGGCUACUCAUUUGUCAGGCUGUCAUGAAUCAAUCAUCUUUGACUACGUGUUUAUGCUCCAAGUACAGAAAUUUUGGGCCAAACCCAGCCCUUAAACCCUAAACAACUACAUGUAUUUGAAUUGAAUUUGGUUCUAAACUUAGGAACUCUGCUUUCAGUCUGUUCUGAGUGAAACUAACACCGUGCUUUCUACAUGGGUGAACGUCAGAGAGGUUGAACUUGGAUCUGAAGAAGUAUAAAUGUGAACUCACAUACAAUCAUAUGUCAGCAUUGUCCUGUGUUGUCAUCGUCCCUUUUCUGGGUGGGGGAAAGAGAA